rnacentral:rRNA from 1 species
AUACGGAGGGUGCGAGCGUUAAGCGGAAUUAUUGGGCGUAAAGCGCGUGUAGGCGGCUGGGUAAGUCGGGUGUGAAAGCCCGGGGCUCAACCCCGGAAUUGCAUUCGAAACUGCCUAGCUAGAGUCUCGGAGAGGAGGGCGGAAUUCCCGGUGUAGAGGUGAAAUUCGUAGAUAUCGGGAGGAACACCAGUGGCGAAGGCGGCCCUCUGGACGAUGACUGACGCUGAGACGCGAAAGCGUGGGUAGCGAACGGAAUUAGAAACCCCGGUAGUCC